AGUAAGAUGGCUGAGAUUUAUAGGCAAUAAAUUGUAAAUUUAUGUAGAGAUUAAUAUCUUCUUAUUA
rnacentral:tRNA from 1 species